GGGGGGCGGCCGCGAAAUGGCCGAGGACGCCGCGCAGGGAACAGAGUGGGGAUGCGGGACACGAGAGGAAGCGGGGGGGCCGGGGCGGCCCCGCGGCGAAAGCCGCUCGUACAGCCCUGCCCCCCCCCCCGCUCCUUCCUCCUUCCUCACCCCCCCCACCCUUUCCCUCCCUCCCGCUUCCCCCCGGCCCGGGCGGGGUGUGGGUGUCCGCGGGGACGGUGGACAUUUUGCGAGUCGCGGCUGCCCCCGGUGCGGUGGCGGCCUUGGGGUGUGUGAGACUGCGCGUGUGCUCGUGUGUGCGGGGGGGCGGUGUGCGGUGCCGGUGUGUGUAUGUGUGUGUGCAGUGUGUGUAUGUGUGUGCGAUGUGUGUGUGUGUGAGCGUGGGGGCUCCGGUGUAUGUAUGUGUGUAUGUCUGCGUGCGUGUGUGCGGUGCCGGUGCAUGUGUGCGGGGGGUGCGGUGCCGGCUGUGUGCGUGGGUUGCCGUGCCGUGUGUGUGCGAGUGCGGGCGGGGGUGCGGUGCCGGUGCGGUGCCGUGUGUGUGUGUCUGUGUCUGUGUGUGUCUGUGCGUGCGCGGCCGGCGCGGCGCGGUGCGGGGGGGCCGUGCGGGGCUCGUACGCCGGGCGGACCCGGCGGGGCGCAGCGCGGGGCCGGUCGCCGGCAGGGCCGGUCGCCGCCACCGCACGGCGUAUGUAGUACGGGGCUGGGCGGCUGCCGGAGGGUGAAUGAAGCGAGGAGGAGGCGGCGGCGGCGGGGGAGGCGGCGCUGCCGCUGGGAUGUGCCCGGCAGCAGCCCCGCUUCGCUUCACUCAGGGCCCAGGCCGGCUGCAGACGCCACCCGUCACAUUGCAGGCCAAGCCAGAUGGGCAAGCAAUACAAGCUGUGAAUUUAUUCUUGACCCCGUAGGACAGUGACCACCAUCAUUUUUUUCUUCACCCUACAGUUAUGCACUGCCAAUAAGGUGAGAAUGCAAUGCUUUUUAUUUCCUUCAGCAAGUGUACACUGUCUGCUCUGGGCUUUAGGCAAAGUGCACUCCUUCCUGGUGUCUGUGUGAUUACCUACCUAUGAUAGGUUUGUACUUCCCUUGCCUGGCAGUAGAGGUCCUUGAGAAACUCUGCUCAGAAAAAUGUCUUUAACUCUGGUGACUCAGUUCUGUGACUUACAGAACAGGUGGGUUCCAGAUGGGUGGUUUUAUGCUCACCUGAGGUCAGAGUGCAUUCAGUUACUGGAAGAUGUUAGUAUGAAUGGAAAAGUUGGCAGACUUUGAGUCUUGUUAUAAAAUGCUAUGUGUAAAAUUGAAUAAAUCCUUCCUUCACUUUUAUGAUCAUUUUCAGGAUUCCUGUUGCUUGUCGCCUACUUGGCUUUUCCACUGUCUUGAGUUUCUUCUGUGCAUUAAACUUUGUCCAGCAUUAGAAUAGUUCCCAGGAUAAUUAGUCACUACUGAUGUAUCUGUGUGUCUUUUGCUCUAUUUUGAGGAAUGCUUUCAGUUCUUCUGAUUUUCCUCCCUGGAAUGCUGUUGCCAGACAAGAUGUAAAAGUGCACAUGUAUCAGUCUGCUGCUGUCCCUUUCCUCUCUCUCUCCUUCCCAUAUGGUUGUGGAAAAUAACUUGAAAAGACCAAGUCCCAAGACUCAACAAUCAUACUGCCAAUAAAAAGAACAUAAAUUUUUAUUUUAUUUCUUUAAUCUGAUUGUCAUUAAGCCAGCCUGGUUUUUUGGACCUAUUCUGUGAUUUUUAAGUGCUUGGGAUUGGCAAUGCUGCUAAUGCUUUAAGAAAAAAAAGAUAAAGGAUCAUAAUAAAAUUGCCUGUGUCUUUAAAUAAAAGAAAAUGAAAUAUAGUGAUUGCUUGCAGAAAACCAAAG
ensembl:lncRNA